rnacentral:rRNA from 1 species
UACGAAGGGGGCUAGCGUUGCUCGGAAUCACUGGGCGUAAAGCGCACGUAGGCGGAUUCUUAAGUCAGGGGUGAAAUCCUGGAGCUCAACUCCAGAACUGCCUUUGAUACUGAGGGUCUUGAGUUCGGGAGAGGUGAGUGGAACUGCGAGUGUAGAGGUGAAAAUUCGUAGAUAUUCGCAAGAACACCAGUGGCGAAGGCGGCUCACUGGCCCGAUACUGACGCUGAGGUGCGAAAGCGUGGGGAGCAAACAGG